GUUGAGGGUUGCAUAAGAAUGUAGAUGGUGUCAGGUUAAAGGGCUCAAAAGGGGCAAUCAGGUGAAGAGGGAGGGAAAAGGGGAAGCACUGCCUGAAAAACAUGACCUUUGUGUGAUAGUUAUCUGGCUACUGGGAGUGAGCUGGUGGGGGCCCAUGAGGAAUAGCAAUGCUUUUGUUGGUAAUCUUGGCACGAUCAAGCUGUCCUGUUUUGUGCCUAUGACUCAGAUCUCCCUGAUCUCCAAAAGACACUCACUCAAUACCGCCUGCAUGGAUGCCCUCGCUCACCCCUGCGAGGGACCAACCUCAGGGCCGCAGACCCUUAUUCCUCCCCAUUCAGCCUCUUGAGAGAUUCGCCUCAGAUGUGCAGCUAUCCACCUGUCUGGAGGUCCAAUGUGCUCCUCUGACUCUAAACCUUCAAUCUGACGGCUCGGCUUUCACUCAAACUGGCCUAAAUCAAGCGGCACUGCCCUAUUGAAGAUGAAGAGGUGCAGCCUGGAGCUCAUACGCCACAGACAGGGCUCCUAUUGAUUUUAUAGCACAAGCUGCUGGUAAGCUGUGCUCUCUCUGGCAUACUAAAUUCCCUGCCCUUCUAGGAGGGCUUGAUGAACUGCCCAGGUAGCUCUCACUCAUUCCUCUUGUCAGAAGCACUUGAGCUAGAUGAAUGUCUUACCUGUGCCUCGUGUGCAUGCGACUCACUUAAAUGUUUCCCAGCGACUCUUGAAGCUUUUUACCGCAGUCUCUGAUGAUGAAUGGCUUUUUUUGUUUGUAAGAAAAUGUUUUAGAUGCUUUUCCAGGUUUCGCUGUGGAGGAUUUAUCUUCUGAUGUAUGAAGACAGGGCAUUUUUAGCUGGCAGACAUGACCCCUCAGUCAAGUCAAGGUAGAUAGAUAACAGUUAAACAUCAUGACGCAGGAUGCCAUUGUUUUGCAAACACACGGAAUGGAUGUGCCUUCAUUGUUAAAGUCAACAUGAAAUGAUUCCUCAAGACUCCAGACUGGGACUAAAAUAGUUUUAAAUGCAACAAAAAAAAAUUACCAUUAGCGAUAAUAACAUCAGCAUAUGUUUGUUGCAUUUCUCCCUCUGAGAGGCAGUUUGCACAGAACUUUCAAAAUGUAAUAAUUAUUUCUGACUCACCUCAC
rnacentral:lncRNA from 1 species